rnacentral:rRNA from 1 species
UACAGAGGGUGCGAGCGUUGUCCGGAAUCACUGGGCGUAAAGGGCGCGUGGGCGGCGCGGUAAGCGUGCGGUGAAAGCCCGGGGCUCAACCCCGGGUCGGCCGUGCGGACUGCCGGGCUGGAGCACUGUAGAGGCAGGUGGAAUUCCGGGUGUAGCGGUGGAAUGCGUAGAGAUCCGGAAGAACACCGGUGGCGAAGGCGGCCUGCUGGGCAGUAGCUGACGCUGAGGCGCGAAAGCGUGGGGAGCAAACAGG